rnacentral:rRNA from 1 species
GAUGAACGCUGGCGGCGUGCCUAAUACAUGCAAGUCGAGCGAAUGGAUUAAGAGCUUGCUCUUAUGAAGUUAGCGGCGGACGGGUGAGUAACACGUGGGUAACCUGCCCAUAAGACUGGGAUAACUCCGGGAAACCGGGGCCAAUACCGGGUAACAUUUUGAACCGCAUGGUUCGAAAUUGAAAGGCGGCUUCGGCUGUCAAUUAUGGAUGGACCCGCGGCGCAUUAGCUAGUUGGUGAGGUAACGGCUCACCAAGGCAACGAUGCGUAGCCGACCUGAGAGGGUGAUCGGCCACACUGGGACUGAGACACGGCCCAGACUCCUACGUGAGGCAGCAGUAGGGAAUCUUCCGCAAUGGACGAAAGUCUGACGGAGCAACGCCGCGUGAGUGAUGAAGGCUUUCGGGUCGUAAAACUCUGUUGUUAGGGAAGAACGAGUGCUAGUUGAAUAAGCUGGCACCUUGACGGUACCUAACCAGAAAGCCACGGCUAACUACGUGCCAGCCGCCGCAGUAA